GCAGAGACAAGGAAAUGCUGUCACCGCUGUUAAACACGCACGUGGAGUUUUGUUAAAGCUAUGGUGGUCAGCUGGCUCUAAGGAAAAGCUACUUGCCAGCGGUGCAAGUGCUGGUAACCAAAAAAGGGGAAUGGACAGUUUAGGAGCUCCAGCACUCCUCAGCAGAGCUGCAAUCCUGGCUGGCCUUCUGAGGGGGCAGUGAGUGCAGAAGUCGGGAGGAAGUCCUGCUGUGCCCUGCCUCAAUGAGACCUGCUUUAUGGUAGAGCCAACAGUGGCUCCUGGAUGCAAAAAGCAGAAACGCCUGGAUUGGCCUUGGCCUCUGACAUCUCUGGAAGUGCUGAGAGCCUGAGCUGUAAGGUGAGGCACAUGUGCUCACAGCCCCUU